CAAAUCCCCAUUUUUCCCCCCCAAAAUUCCAAUUUUUCCCCCCAAAAUUCCCUUUUUUUUUCCCAAAAAUUCCCAUUUUUUCCCUCCCAAAAAUUCCCAAUUUCCCUUCCCUAAAUUCCCAUUUUUCCCCCCAAAAUCCCCAAUUUUUCUCCCCCUCAAAAUCCAAUUUUUCCCCCCAAAAAUUCCCAUUUUUUCCGCCUUAAAAAUCCCAAUUUCCCCCCCCCAAAUUCCCAAUUUUUCCCCCAAAAUUCCCAUUUUUCCCCUCCCCAAAAUCCCCAAUUUUUCCCUCCUGAAAUUCCCAAUUUCACUCCCCAAAUACCCAAUUUUUUUUCCAGGAAUUUAUUGGAAUUUAUUGGGAAUUUUUGAGGGGUUUUUUUGGGAAUUUUUUGGGACUUUUUGGGAAUAUUUCCAGGGAUUUUUUGGGAAUAUUUUUGGGAUAUUUUGGGAUAUUUUGGGAAUUUUUUGGGGGUUGUGGACUCACCAAAAUUCCAUUUAUUCCCCCAAAUUUUCCCCCAAAAAUCCCGGAUUUUUUCAGGUGAGGACAGGAUUUUUUGGGAAUAUUUUUGGGAUAUUUUGGGAAUUUUUUUGGAAUUUUUAGGGGAAUUUUUGGGGUCGUGGACUCAUCAAAAUUCCAUUUAUUCCCCAAAUUUUCCCCAAAAAAUCCCGGAUUUUUUCGAGGCCGGAUGGGAUUUUUUGGGAAUAUUUCCAGGGGUUUUUUGGGAAUGUUUUGGGGAUAUUUUGGGAAUUUUUUGGGAAUUUUUGGGGCUCUCAGAGCUCUUGGAUUCACCAAAAAAUUCCAUUUUUUCCUCCGUAUUUUCCUCUAAAAAUCCCGGAUUUUUUCGAGGCUGGAUGGGGUUUUUUGGGAAUUUUUCCAGGGAUUUUUUGGAAAUGUUUUUGGGAAUUUUUGGGAAUUUUUUUGGGAAUUUUUGGGGAAUUUUUAGGGGAAUUUUUGGGGGUCGUGGACUCAUCAAAAUUCCAUUUUUUCCUCCGUAUUUUCCCCAAAAAAUCCCAGAUUUUUUCGAGGCCGGAUGGGAUUUUUUUGGGAAUAUUUUUGGGAUAUUUUGGGAAUUUUUUGGGAAUUUUUUGGGAAUUUUUAGGGGAAUU
rnacentral:lncRNA from 1 species